rnacentral:rRNA from 1 species
UACGUAGGCAGCGAGCGUUGUUCGGAGUUACUGGGCGUAAAGGGUGUGUAGGCGGUCGUUUUAAGUUUGGUGUGAAAUCCUCCCGGCUCAACUGGGAGGGUGCGCCGAAUACUGAAUGACUAGAGUGUGGGAGAGGUGAGUGGAAUUCCCGGUGUAGCGGUGAAAUGCGUAGAUAUCUGGAGGAACACCGGUGGCGAAGGCGGCAUCCUGGACCGGUAUUGACGCUGAUGAGCGAAAGCCAGGGGAGCAAACGGG